CUAACCAGGAUUCCCCUAGUAACGGCGAGUGAAGAGGGAAAAGCCCAGCACCGAAGCCUGCGGCAGUUUUGCUGUUAGGCAAUGUGGUGUUUAGGCCGGCUCGCGGGAUUGCCACUCCACUCGAAGUCCAGCAUUGAGUAUGGUCACUGGAAUUGGCCCAGAGAGGGUGAAAGGCCCGUACGGGUGGAGUUUCAGACAAGUCAGGCAAUUCACCAGGUCGACCUUCGAGUCGGGUUGUUUGAGAAUGCAGCCCAAAGUGGGUGGUAAACUCCAUCCAAGGCUAAAUACUAGCACGAGUCCGAUAGCGAACAAGUACCGUGAGGGAAAGUUGAAAAGUACUUUGAAGAGAGAGUAAACAGUACGUGAAGCCGCAUGCAGGUAAACGGGUGGCGCCAAGCUGCGGGCUUGGAGAAUUCAGUUGGCUAGGUUGCAUGAUGCGCCUGACGCGUCUAUCGGUCGGAAUAAGCAGUGAUAGUCCACUGGUAAACGGUGGGCCCGGUCGCAAGACUGGGAUAUGUGUACCGAGCGGAAGCCGGAGCAUGCUAUCUAUCUGUUGGACCGCCUAGUCAGUGCACUUUCUCUAUGGCCAACACCACGACCGGUAGUAUUGCCAGUCUGCUGUAGCCAAGUCGUAUCUGAUGGGUCCUUGUGGCUAAUUGGGUGCGAUCACAGGCAAAUCCAGUGAACGGCGUAGAGUGGCUCUUCGGGGACGCUUUGCGUGUUAUCGGUAACUGGUUGUGAUCGGGUCGCUUGAUGGCGCGGUAACCGUUGUCAGGUGGCCUGGUGGGCUAUGGUGGUAAGAAUAACUGUGCAAGGUACCGGGGUUAGCGACCUCAAUUGCUAUCUGCACGCACGUUGCCUAGUGUAAUGUGGGGAUGGCGUAACCGUGGUCUGCCUGUUGUUGAGUCUGAUUGUCGUGUCGCCCGCAAAAAGUGGGCCCGGCNGUGGCUUGAUGCGGGAUGGGCUGUGGGCGUUGUCUCUGGUGUGGACUGUAGUGGGUCUGAUAGUCAGUGGUGCGGCGGUAGGCUAGCUUCCCGACCCGUCUUGAAACACGGACCAAGGAGUUUAACAUGUAUGCGAGUCAAAGGGUCCUACGAAACCCCAAGGCGCAGUGAAAGUGAAGCUUCGACUUGUCUCGGAGUGUGGUGAGAUCCUGCUGUUACUCGCAUCAGCCUUGGUGUCAGCAUCAGGCUUAAGAGCGGUAGGCGCAUCACCGGCCCGUCUCAUGAUGUGGUCAUUGGAUGUAUGCAGUUGCUGCGCAA
rnacentral:rRNA from 1 species